ACACUGAAAGAAAUAAUGACUGGAAUUUUUCCAAUCCUGAUGCAAACUAUAAGCCCAGGGAUCUGAGAAGCUCAAUGCAACUCAAGCAUAAGAAGUUUGAAGAAAACUACAUCAAGGAUGGGGCGCCUGGGUGGCUCAGUGGGUU